GCCCCAAUGGCCCAGUGGUUAAGGCGCCGCUCUUGUACCACAUUCGAGCAAAGCGGAGACCGGGUGUUCGACUCACCCUUGGGGCA